rnacentral:rRNA from 1 species
GAUGAACGCUGGCGGCGUGCCUAACACAUGCAAGUCGAGCGAUUUACUUCGGUAAGGAGCGGCGGACGGGUGAGUAACGCGUGGGUAACCUGCCCUGUACACGCGGAUAACAUACCGAAAGGUAUGCUAAUACGAGAUAAUAUACUUUUAUCGCAUGGUAGAAGUAUCAAAGCUCCGGCGGUACAGGAUGGACCCGCGUCUGAUUAGCUAGUUGGUAAGGUAACGGCUUACCAAGGCGACGAUCAGUAGCCGACCUGAGAGGGUGAUCGGCCACAUUGGAACUGAGACACGGUCCAAACUCCUACGGGAGGCAGCAGUGGGGAAUAUUGCACAAUGGGCGAAAGCCUGAUGCAGCAACGCCGCGUGAGCGAUGAAGGCCUUCGGGUCGUAAAGCUCUGUCCUCAAGGAAGAUAAUGACGGUACUUGAGGAGGAAGCCCCGGCUAACUACGUGCCAGCCGCCGCGGUAA